GUAUCCUUAGUACAGUGGUUAAGUACACUUGACAUGGACAUAAGAGACAUGGGUUUGAUUCCCACAGGACACA
rfam:Puccinia sorghi strain RO10H11247 Scaffold_96, whole genome shotgun sequence.